GCCGAAGGGGAGGAGAUGAGUGGAAGGACCAGAUUGGGUGGAGAGAGCGGAAGUGGGGGCCGGGUCAGCCGCGGGAUUUGAAGCCGAAAGGCAGGAUUUAGGCUCAGAAUGGCGGAAGUGGUGGGGUUCGGACUUGGGCCGUGGGAGUAGAGCCGAAAGACCAUGGGACCUCCAAAAUGAAAUGAAAACCUUGGGCCAAGAGGUCCUUCCCGUUCUCCACGCGCCCCAUCACCCUUGCCUAAACUCCAUGAGAAGUCAGUCUCCCUGGAGACCAGAUCUUACAAAGACGCAGGUUCUCGUGUAUGUGCCUGUGGAUCAUUUAUUUAUUUCUUAUUAUUUUCAGCCUUACAAGUUCGUCUGUGAGCACAAAUGACAAUGUUCCCAACUGUUCAAGUUUUUGUUUUUGUUUUUUCCCUGCGUGAAGGGUCCACGCAAGCGGUAUCAAUGGAAACCUAUCAAAAGGUUGAGUCCUUCGAGCCGGAUUCGAACCAGCGACCUAAGGAUGACCACUGUCAACCAUCUACAGUCCUCCGCUCUACCAACUGAGCUAUCGAAGGAUUAGUGGUAGGGCUUGUUAGAAUACCGCUAAUAAUGUUUAUCCCCGUGGUUUUAAUCAUCUUUUUAAAAUUACAGGCAAAUGCUUUUUCUAGAGUGCUAGAAAUGUUCUAAAACUGGUAGGAGUGGUAAUCAUAGAGGUAUAUUGAAAAAUUAAUACCCUUGAACACUUAA